GGCACUUAAAAAGCAAAGAAAAAGAAAGAAAGAAAAAAAACGAGAAGAAAAGAAAAACACGCACAACACACACCACACCACCAUUUUCCUCUUCCUCCUCCUUCACUCACUUCUCCCAAAUUCCCCCCACCUCAUUAAACUCCCACCCUAAUUCCACAAAUCCAAACUCUCUCCCUCUCUCUCUCAGAUCCAUUGAGUUUGUUUGACUCAAUUUCUUCCUUCACAUCUUUCUACCUAAACUCGCUUGAAAUCACCUUCCGAUUCUCGUGUAUCUGGUGCCAACUUGUUGGGGGUGUUUUGGCUGAAGAGCUCGAAUUGUCGCUGAAAGCUAUGGCUUCGAUUGGAGCAGAUCUGUGCCGCAAAAUCUACCCCGAGCCGGUCGACCACUUCGAUCGGUUGCCGGACUCUCUCAUCCUCUUGAUCUUCAAUAAAAUCGGAGACGUGAAGGCGCUGGGCCGAUGCUGCGUCGUUUCGAGGCGGUUCCACUCGCUCGUUCCCCAAGUCGACAACGUCGUAGUCCGCGUCGACUGCGUCAUCUCCGAUGACGAUCCUUCCUCCAACUCUUCUUCGUCCGCAUCCGGUUCCGCCGCCGGCGACAAGUCGCGCCACCCUAUCUCCUCCCUCUUCCGCAUCUUCUUCUCCGGGAUCUUCAAACCCUUGCAGUCCCUGUCUCAGCUCAUCACCCCCUCGGCGCGCCGGCUUCCUCUUUCGGAGGAUUUCGACUGCGAAGCGGAGCAGAGCACCGUCACACACCAUUCGCCGACGCAGGUCUUGAAGAAUUUCAACGAGAUCAAGCUGCUCAGGAUAGAGCUCCCCACGGGGGAGCUGGGGAUUGAUGAAGGCGUUUUGCUCAAAUGGAAGGCGGAAUUCGGCUCCACGCUUGACAGCUGCGUGAUUCUCGGAGCUUCGAGCGUCGUGCAGAGCGCAAAUAGCGGCUACAAUUGCCUGGGCGCUUGCAAUACCGCAAUUGGUAGUGAUAGUGGAGUGGAGAACGAUAAUGGUAGCAUACCGGAAUCGUUCUACACCAACGGAGGCCUGAAGCUGCGCGUUGUGUGGACCAUCAGCUCGUUGAUCGCCGCCUCCGCCAGGCAUUACCUUCUGCAGCCUAUAAUAGCGGAGCACAAGACGCUCUCGAGCUUGGUUUUGACGGAUGCUGAUGGGCAAGGGGUGUUGUCUAUGAAUAAGGAGCAGCUGGAGGAGCUGAGGGUGAAGCCUCUGUCAGCGUCGUCGGCUUCGAAGAGGACUCUUGUUCCGGCUCUCAACAUGCGUUUGUGGUAUGCUCCUCAUCUCGAGUUGCCUAACGGGGUGGUCUUGAAAGGAGCGACUCUGGUUGCGAUCCGGCCGAGCGAGCAGCCCAAGAAGGAGGUGGCGGGAUCGGAGGCAAAUUGGGUUGCAUCGGCAUUUCAGGAGCCAUUUGGGACUGCUGCAAGGAUGUUGGUGAAGAGGAGGACCUACUGCCUCGAAAUGAACUCUUUCUGAAGGAGGUGGCUUAUCUAAGGAUGAAGAGACAGAUACAUGAGGUAAAGCGAAGGUAAGGUCCCAAAAUCGCAGGGUGCAAAUUUUGUCUUGAGCAGAGCAAGCUGCAAGCGAGUUGCCGGCAAAGUUUAUACAGCUUCCAGUUACGACCGCGGUACGAGAAGUCAGUUUCAUCGAUCCGUUCACUGUCUGCAACAACUGCUUUCAUUUUGAACCGACGCUUAUACUUUAAAACGGGGGAGAUGGGGGUUUGCUAUGCAACUGGAUAAUCAAUUAAUCAUGUUAUAUUUUGGUGAACUCGAAGAUGUUAUUGGUGGUUAGAUGCGCAGCGUGUAAGGAAGGGCAUUGAAUCUCAACUGGGAAUAGGGUCCCUUCACAUGAGGUAGAGGCAGUAGCAGUAGUAGUAAUAACAUAGCCGUUUUGAUGUCUCAAUUAAGGUGGAGAGGAAUUGAUUUCACAAAAUAAGCCAAGAAACUGAAAUAAAUGGAAGUGACCCACCUUGCCUUUUUUCCUCAUCAAAAGUACUCUCCAGUUGGUGAGUGGUUGCAUGCAAUAAUUGAUGAUGCUUCAAUUCCCAUGAAUGCAUGUUUGGUUCCAUUCAAGAAUUUUGUUUCACUGUGAAUUGAGUCCACACACACACACACAGUUGAAUUGCAUCCCCCAUCCUAUGCAAUAAUUUUGAGCAACAUAUCUAAGUUGUCGGUUGCAGAAUUGUUUAGUAGGUAUAUUAGUUUAUUGAGGUUGUACUACUGUGAACAACUCACCAUUAAGCUAGGGGCAAUUAUUAUUAACAGCCAAGCUGUUUCCAGCCUGCUCUUAUUUUUCUUCAAAAUAAAUUGUUCAAUUAUUUUGUUA